GGAGAGGUGGCAGAGCGGUUGAAUGCGGCGGUCUUGAAAACCGUUGUCCCGCGAGGGACCCCGAGUUCGAAUCUCGGCCUCUCCGCCA
rnacentral:tRNA from 1 species